ACCUGGGUGCUGUACCGGAUAGGUGCAUUUGCUGAAGAACUGUUUUAGGCUCCUGCCUCCCAAGGGCUGGCAUUAAAAGUUCAUCACUAUCCCAGUCUUUAUUCUGUUUUCCAUCCUCUGGUACCUUACAGAGGCCCGGAACACACAGUGUUUUAUGAUCUCUAUGAGAUUGAGGCCAGCCUGGUCUAUGUAGAGUUCUAGCCAGGGCAAUGGAGUGAGACCCAGUAUCAAAACAACAUAAACUGUCCACAUGCUGACUUGCCUUAACAUCAAUUUAUACCUGAAACUAAAUGCAAGCUAACCAUUAGUCAGUUCAUUAGAAAUAGGGUCAAUUUACACAAAGGACAGGGGAGAAUAUUCAGGAGUCAAUGGGACAGAUUUUAUAUUUGAUUCAUCAGUUUAUCCAGUAAUUAUAUGCCCCCAAACAGGUGAUGGGAUAGAAAGCCUUGCAUGUGCUAGACAAGCUCCCUGCCACUGAGCUAUAGCCACAGACCUUUUAAAGCUUAUUUUUAUUUUUUAAAUAUUUUUUAAAAACUUUUAUGUGCAUUGGUGUUUUAUCUACAUAUAUAUCUGUAUUUAUGUGUCAGACCACAGGGCGUCAGAUCUCUUAGAACUGGAGUUGCAGCUACUUGUGGGUGCUGAGAAUUGAACCAGGUUCCCCUAGAAGAGCACCCAUUGCUCUUAACCUCUGAGCAAUCUCUCCAGCCCCAAAAUUUAUUUUUAUUAAUGUGCAUGUGUGUGUGUGUAGGCAUACAAGCCCCAUGAAGCUGGAGAGGUGCCAAGAUACCCCCAAGACUACUCGAACAGGCUUACCUGCCUUUUCAAGUUUCUGUCUUUCAAGACACAAGCAGCCAAACGCCACCCUGCAAGGGAAAAAAAAAGCCCAACAUCAAGCCAUACAAUCCCACCAAUCCCUCAGCUUGCCCCAAGAUCAGGUCACAAAAUCCCACCAAUCUGACACCACCUCGUAAGUCUUCACCCACUCCCCCCAAGAAACCCUAUAUACAGCCUGCCUCCUGCUCAGUCCUGUGCUGGGUCCCACUAGAAACCCUAUAUACAGCCUGCCUCCUGCUCAGUCCUGUGCUGGGUCUCACUAGAGCAAGGGCUGUCACCCUCUUCUGUUUUUCCCAUGUGAGGUUUCUUGUACAGUGUGACUUUGUGGUAUUUCUUGGCUCCUUACUGCCAGGAUACCUUUCCCCUUAGAGCUCUUUCAUUUACAUAUGCAUACACAUGAACCGAAUCGGGAACAGAGUGUGGGUUUCCCCACUAAGUUCUAUCAUUUGGAGGCCCCAGCGAGAUCUGCGUGACACCCAGGAACCCUGAAAGACCCCUUGGAGUUCUGGUAUUCUGUAUUCUGGCAGCUGCCACUUUGGACCGUGAGGACCUAGUGGCUGCAGGAGGAAGACGUUCUAAGGCCCCACAGGCUGCAACUCUGGAAGACGUUCCAAGGGUGACCCUGGAGGAAGUGCCCAGGGUCUGGUUUUGCUCUCAAGGGGUUGACUGAUUAUCUUGGUUUGGCCCCAAGAGACUUUUCACUCCUGCUGGUCGGGUGAAGGAUUUCCAGCAGUCUAUGUCCCUGUACAAAGACCAGCAUCUGGCAGUCAUGGGGCCAAAACAGUUGAAAAUGAUAUCCAUGCAAAUUCAACAAGACCUCUGAUUGGACACUGAAGCCUGAAACCUGCUUGCUCAGGGUGGAGCUUCCUGCUCAUUCGUUCUGCCACGCCCACUGCUGGAACCUGCGGAGCCACACACGUGCACCUUUCUACUGGACCAGAGAUUAUUCGGCGGGAAUCGGGUCCCCUCCCCUUUCCUUCAUAACUAGUGUCGCAACAAUAAAAUUUGAGCCUUGAUCAGAGUAACUGUCUUGGCUACAUUCUUUUCUCUCGCCACCUAGCCCCUCUUCUCUUCCAGGUUUCCAAAAUGCCUUUCCAGGCUAGAACCCAGGUUGUGGUCUGCUGGCCGGACACAACAAUAAAACAGUUAUGAUAGAUUAAAAACUUUCCCAACAAUAAAAUUUCAUAUGGCUACACCUGUGUUAUCAGAGGUGGGUUUUGGUAUAUGGUAAAGAAAGUCUUAAUUAGAAAGAAUUAGUUUAAAUUUAUGCAUUGAAGAUUUAUAAAAAAUCAGGCACUAGAUGUUGAAUAAUUGACCAUAUGGGGCUGGAGAGCUAGCUCAGUGAUUAAGAGCACUAUCAUAAAGAUUAACCUGCUCUUGCAAAUAUGCCAGUAGCCUUGAAUGACUGCCUCACUGAAUACAUCCUUUUAGAAUUGUUAUAUUUUGAUGAUUUAUAUUAAUAAUGAUGUUACCUGUUCUGUAUGUGAUUCACUGAAUACAUAGUUUCAGAGUUGUAAUGCUUGGAUGAUUUUUGUUGGUAUUUGUGAUUGAUUCACUGGAUACAGUUUCUAAGAGAUGCAAUGUUUGGAUUUUAAUGUAUAAAAUCCCCUGCUUGAGAGCUCCAAAAUACAGUCGGAUUCAAAUUGC
rnacentral:lncRNA from 1 species